UAUGAAAUGUAACCGAGAUAAGAUUUUUUGGGUUUUUUUUGCUUUGUUUCUUGGGCUAUAAUAACCAUGGUAUUUUUGAUUGCUGUUCAAAAUCCUAGGUAUUUUUAGUUCUGUUGAAAAUCCUAGGUAUUUUUUAAGCCUAUUACAAUGUGCGUGCACGCGCGAGAGAGAAAAAGAGAUCUUGGUGUACCAAUAUGUAGGUUUUGAGAACGUGAACAGGGUUUGUGACAUCAGUGAUUAUAAAAGGUAGUUGACAAGUAAAUAAAUGUAUGUAUUUUAUGAAUAUGGAAAACCGUAGGGUAAAAUGGGACAGAGAGGGAAAAUAAUAUUUUUGCACAUGUCUACUUGAUACCAGAAGGGUGCAAAUUGUACGCUGUGCCAGGUACCAGUAUAAAAAUCGUUAACAAUUUCAUAUCAUUAUGUUGAUACAAACUUAUUCACCAAAACAUGUCCACACACACACAAAACUGGUCAAUGUGUAAUGGAAUGUAAAUGAAAAAAAUCAAUGACGGCUGUUAUCCACUUUCAAAGACAACACAUGUAAAGCAUUAUCCAUGGUCAUUUUCGGCUAUUAUCCAUUUUUCACACAAGGUUGAAUAUAUAUGGUUUUAACACAAAAAACGGCAAAUGUAAACAACUUAUUCUAAACUAUGUCAGAUAGUGAAAUGGUAGAGCCGUGUAUACAAUGAAUUACAAGCAUAAAAAACAACUCUAAAUAUUUCUUAUGAAUUUUCAAACUAAACAUACAUGGAUUUUGUAAAUUAUUUAACAUAUUGUGUAUUGUAUUCACAAAAAUACAGUAAAGUAAUUUGAGUUCCAUGGAAACAAAUCACCAUUCGUUCUUUUGGCAACAUCUGGUGGUUAAAAUCUCUUAUCAAGCCACAGCAACUUACCGAAAAACCUAAAAUUUUCAGAAGCGAUCAUCUGCCACAUUGUAGCAUUUUGGAAUUAUCAUAACAUUUCGUAUUAUCUGGAUAACAAGGGUGAUGAAUCUGAUUUAGGCAGAGCUGAAGUUAGAUGGUUUACCGAGCUUCCCCUCACUGAAUACAGAAGCAGAAAGUUUAAAAGAGAUAGUAGAGUGUAGCUACAGGGAGAGACAGGAACUGUUUACAAAAUAUCACAGGAUACAGGAAUUCCAGGAACUUACAGACAAGAAGCAGAAUGUGAUACAGGUAUUGGUAAAACAGAAUAUAAACUCCCAGUCCAGGCUUGAUGCACAGGUUGAUGAGAUAGACCAGUAUAUAGAGAGAUCAUUGAUGUCACACCAGUCACAGAUCAGUACAGUAUCGGGCAAGUUACAGGACUGUGUCACGUCAGAAAUUAACGAGUUUGCUAACCUAGCACUGCCAUAUCUCAUGUUCUCACAGAUAGAAAAGUGAGUACAGUA